UACGUAGGUGGCGAGCGUUAUCCGGAAUUAUUGGGCGUAAAGGGUGCGCAGGCGGCAAGAAAAGCUUAAGGUGAAAGCGUGGGGCUCAACCCCAUAAAGCCUUAGGAACUAGCUUGCUAGAGUGCAGGAGAGGGCGAUGGAAUUCCAUGUGUAGCGGUAAAAUGCGUAGAUAUAUGGAGGAACACCAGUGGCGAAGGCGGUCGCCUGGCCUGUAACUGACGCUGAGGCACGAAAGCGUGGGGAGCAAAUAGG
rnacentral:rRNA from 1 species